rnacentral:rRNA from 1 species
AAGUCAGAUGUGAAAGCCUUCUGUUCAAAGGAAGAACGGCAUCUGAAACUGCAAAUCUUGAGUGUAGGAGGGGAGAGUGGAACUUCUGGUGGAGCGGUGAAAUGCGUAGAUAUCAGAAGGAACGUCGGCGGCGAAAGCGACUCUCUGGCCUAUUACUGACACUGAGUGUGCGAAAGUUAGGGGAGCAAACGGGAUUAGAUACCCCGGUAGUCCUAACUGUAAACGAUGGGCACUAAGUAGAGGGAAUUACCAAUGUUCUCUCUGCCGUAGCUAACGCAUUAAGUGCCCCGCCUGGGGAGUACGGCCGCAAGGCUAAAACUCAAAAGAAUUGACGGGGGCUCGCACAAGCGGUGGAGCAUGUGGCUUAAUUCGAUGCAACGCGAAAAACCUUACCGGGGUUUGACAUGGUAGAAGUAGGAGCCCGAAAGAGUAACCAACGGUAUCCAGUCCGUAACUACUGCAGGUGUUGCAUGGCUGUCGUCAGCUCGUGUCGUGAGACGUUGGGUUAAGUCCCCUAACGAGCGAAACCCUUAUUUUUAGUUACCAUCGGGUUAUGCCGGGUACUCUAGAAAGACUGCCGUCGUCAAGACGGAGGAAGGUGGGGAUGACGUCAAGUCAUCAUGGCCCUUAUACCCCGGGUUGCACACGUGCUACAAUGGUCGGUACAAAAGGAAGCAAGA